AAUACUCCGGACUCGACCGAGAGAGCGUUUGCCACUUUGAGAACGAGCGACGCGCGUCCCUGCGCGAGUUACCGUAGUCGUCGUCGUCGUCGUCGUCGCCGUCGUCGUCGUCGCCGUCGUCGCCGUCGUCGUCGCCGUCGCCGUCGUCGGCGUUGGCAAUCCUCUUCGUCGAGUUCGCGUUCGCGUUAUUUUUCUCAUUUCGAUCGAGUGUGAUCGUCGGAUUGUCUGUGAUUGUCGCGCCUGAAACGUAAUCGGCAUCGUUUACCUCCUUGUCGUCGUUGUCGUCGUCGUGUCGUUGUUGUCGUUCUCAGGACGUCGUCUUGGACGUCUCCGUUUGAGCUAAGGAUGCUUGCGAUGGACGACAAAUGGACGCCGAUUCGUUCAUUCGUCUAAGUGCUAACAUCAAGACUCGCCGAAAAGAUAUGAGCAAGACUUGUCGUGUUCUCGCGUAUGGUGAACCUCGUACUUUCUCUUGCAAUCGUACGGGACAAGGAUUUCUCAAGUGACAGUGAUAAGCUUUAUUGGGACGGUCGAAUUGUAGAUAUAUUACAACGACCCGGUGAUCUUAAGUCCGCGUGUUUUUUUUUCAUAUUGUGAUACAUAUAUGUAGGUAUAUCUUCGCGAACAUAGUUAUUCGUCGUUGUGGCUUAGACGAUACAGUCUGCUACUAUUAAAACGACGAGAGAGAGGAAAGUGCUGGAGAGAGAAUAAGUAGAAGAGAUACAUCAAAGUAAACCAGAGAGAAAAUUUAGCCACCGAUGGACCACGGAGCGAUGGACAGCUCUUCCGAACACAGCAGUCGUGCCAGUCCCGUAACCGGCAGUCCAAAGCAUCCUCAUAGUCCAUCAGCGCAACAGAGUCAACAGCAACAGCAGUUGCACGGCUCCCAGCAUCAAUCCUCUUUGCAACAAUCCCAUCCACGAGAUCAGUUACGCGAACAUCAACAGCAGCAACAGCAGCAGCAACAACAUCGUGGUGUACCGACACCAGGCUCACCGACGAGAGGAUCACCACCACAGGGUCUUCCCCUGAGUCCACCGCCUCUGUCGGCCGGGGGAGGACCCGGUGCACCUCCAGGAAUGGUACCACGAAUGCCGGGACUACCGCCACCGGGACUGGGUCUGUUGGGCCAGCUAGGUGGGAUGUUAAGCGGUCAUCAUGGAUCACCUUUGGAAUUGAUGGCUGCUCAUCAUGCUGUAUUACCACCCAGAUCGUAUAACAGUCCACCACCGAUUAGUACCAGUGAUCCAACCGCGAACGAAUGUAAACUCGUCGAUUAUCGUGGCCAGAAGGUCGCUGCUUUCAUCAUUGCCGGUGAUACCAUGCUCUGCUUGCCUCAGGCCUUUGAGCUCUUCCUGAAACAUCUCGUGGGUGGUUUACAUACCGUCUAUACUAAGCUAAAGAGACUAGAUAUCGUGCCGUUAGUAUGCAACGUCGAGCAGGUUAGAAUCCUACGCGGUCUCGGAGCCAUCCAACCGGGCGUCAAUCGUUGUAAACUUCUCAGCUGCAAGGACUUCGACAUUCUCUACAGGGACUGCACAACGGCCAGGUACGUUCCUUUAAGCUCCAGGCCAGGAAGACCCCCAAAGAGAGCUUCCGUUGGUUUGAGCCUCGCAGCGAGUCACCUAGCAGCGGCUGCUGGUCAUCAUCCACAGCAUUCCUUGAAGAAACACAGGAUGGACAACGGCGAUUACUAUGAAAACGGACAUCUAGAUGUACCAAGGAUGGAAAAGUCACCGCUUUUGGCGAACGGCUAUAAUCAUCCACCCACACACCUCAGUCAUAUGCAAUUCAUGCAGUUGGGAGGACACCCAGGUGCAGGACACACAGCCAUACUCUCACCAGCAAGUCUGCCCCAUCAUCUUCAAGCACAGGCUCAGGCUCGUGCCGAGCAAGGCCUCAAGGUUAACCCAAAUAUGACCAACAUCGAGGCACUCGCGAGGUCCGGGACGGUAUGGGAAAACUGCAGAGCUGCCUAUGAAGACAUUGUCAAACACCUUGAAAGGCUUCGUGAAGAGAGGGGAGACGCUGAAAGGGCUCUUGCAUUGGAUCACAAACCUAGAGAUCUAAGUUCGCACAAUGGUUCCUCGAACGGUCACAGUCCCGUUUUGAAUCUUUCGAAAACAGCAGGAAGUGGCAGUGUUGGUGAACAUUCGGGUAGUGAAGCUGGUGCGUCGCAUCGUUCGCAGGACGACGAGGAAGAGGAUGAUAAUCUUUCGGAAGAUCUCGAAGACGAGAACGAGAAGGACGAAGAUUUAUCUGACGUCCCAGAGAACCUACCACUUCCAGCACCAGGCUCAGAGAGUCCUCAGGCAUUGAACUACUCUCAGAUAGCCUCAGCAGCAGUCGCAGUGUCACAGGGUGCUCAGGACCCUUCGGUUUCGAGUACGGAGACAUUGUUAAGGAAUAUCCAGGGUUUACUCAAGGUUGCAGCUGACAACGCGAGGCAACAGGAGAGGCAAAUCAACUAUGAGAAAGCCGAGUUAAAGAUGGACGUUCUUCGUGAAAGAGAGGUGAAGGACAGCCUAGAACGCCAGCUUCAAGACGAGCAAAAAGUUCGAGUCGUCUAUCAAAAACGGUUGAAGAAGGAACGAAGAGCGAGAAAGCGAUUGCAGGAGCAAUUAGAUCUAGAGAUAAAGAGGCGCACGCAAUUGGAGGAGGCACUUAAAGCCACGGGAGCUUCGUCCGAGCAAGUUCGAGCGAUCACUGAAAACGUGACGACGGAAGCUCGUACAAGCACAGAACCACCAGAAGCGAGUCCAGUACACUCGCAAUCUCAGCAACAACCAUCCCAACAACAGACGCAACAACAACCCCUUCAGCAACAACAAACGGCGGCGCAACAAUACAGAGAAGCUCAAGUUCCACGUCCGUCGCAACAACCGUCUACGCCGGAGAAGCCAACAUGGGGAUACGGGUUGGACCUAAUCGGUAGUCAGGCUUCGGCAUUUUGGCAAAAUUACCAAGAAUCGCUGGUGCAGGAACUCGAGCUGGAGAGAAAAUCGCGGCAGCAUCAGGUGGCCGAGAGGGACCAAGUUAAGUCUCCUCUUCAAGGUGCGUUCAGCAAAAGUACCAGACAUUCGGAUACUUUUUAAUUCAAGUACAAAAAGAAACCUAGCAGCCAUUUUCCUUGACAAAAAAGCAAACAAACAAACAAACAAAAAGAAAAAAAGAAACGAUAGCGUGGCCGUUGAUCUUCCAUUUUAUCCUAACAUCUGAAACGAACAAUUGAAUCGCGGACAGGCUAUUACAAAAAUUCAGUACUGUUUACGAGUGCGACUUAGAAGAUGCAGGAAGAUACUGGACGAGGCGUAGAUCGUAUCAAUCGAAACGAUUAAAGAUCAUCGGAUCUAAAUUGAAAAAGAAGAAAAAAUUUCGAAUGGAAGAGGGGACACAGGGACAAUGGGUGAAGAAGAUUAUUCUUCCAUUUGAACCAAUGAGAGCUGACGAAAGGAAA
rnacentral:misc_RNA from 1 species